rnacentral:rRNA from 1 species
UCCAGACUCCUACGGGAGGCAGCAGUGGGGGAUAUUGCACAAUGGGGGGAACCCUGAUGCAGCGACGCCGCGUGAGCGAUGAAGUAUUUCGGUAUGUAAACUUCUAUCAGCAGGGAAGAAAAUGACGGUACCUGACUAAGAAGCCCCGGCUAACUACGUGCCAGCAGCCGCGGUAAUACGUAGGGGGCAAGCGUUAUCCGGAUUUACUGGGUGUAAAGGGAGCGUAGGCGGUUUAGCAAGUCAGAAGUGAAAGCCCGGGGCUUAACUCCGGGACUGCUUUUGAAACUGUUGAACUAGAUUGCAGGAGAGGUAAGUGGAAUUCCUAGUGUAGCGGUGAAAUGCGUAGAUAUUAGGAGGAACACCAGUGGCGAAGGCGGCUUACUGGACUGUAAAUGACGCUGAGGCUCGAAAGCGUGGGGAGCAAACAGGAUUAGAUACCCCAGUAUCG